UACGGAGGGUGCAAGCGUUAUCCGGAUUCACUGGGUUUAAAGGGCUCGUAGGUGGCCAACUAAGUCAGACGUGAAAUCCCUCGGCUUAACCGGGGAACUGCGUCUGAUACUGGAUGGCUUGAGUUUGGGAGAGGGACGCGGAAUUCCAGGUGUAGCGGUGAAAUGCGUAGAUAUCUGGAGGAACACCGGUGGCGAAGGCGGCGUCCUGGACCAAUACUGACACUGAGGAGCGAAAGCCAGGGGAGCAAACGGA
rnacentral:rRNA from 1 species